rnacentral:lncRNA from 1 species
GAAUUUGAAAACUCAGCAUUAUCAAAGGCUUCUCUCUGCUCUGCCAGCCUUAGCUUUUUGGCUCACUCCCCUUGGUCACAAGACCACUGCUCUGGAAGCACAUUUUCACACACAAACAUCGGAAAGCAGAAAACAAGCAAACACAACCCUGCCUCUUCCUUGGAUCUCUUUAAGACCUAGGAAAUCUUCUCCAGGAGCCUCCUUGAAACCUGCUCCCUCUACCAUUUCAUUGGCCUGAACCAGCGGUUCUCAGUAUGCGGUGCUUGGACCAGCAGCAGCAACAUCACCUGAGAACUUGUUAGAAAUACAAAUUCUUCCAGCCUGGCCAAAAUGGUGAAAACCCGUCUCUACUAAAAAUACAAAAAUUAGCUGGGCGUGGUGGCGGACGCCUGUAAUCCCAGCUACUCAGGAGGCUGAGGCAGGAGAAUCGCUUGAACCCAGGAGGCGGAGGUUGUAGUGAACCGAGAUUGCACCAUUGCACUCCAGCCUGGGGGACAGGGUGAGACUCCAUCUCAAAAAGAAAAAAAAAAAGAAAAGAAAUGCAAAUUCUUGGCCCACCCUGGACCCACUGAGUCAGAACAUGGGGCUGAUUCUGAUGCUCAAGUUUGAGAACCACUGACCUAAGCCAACUACAUGACAAGGGAUCACUUGUUCUGGAGGAAGCCCUCUGCCAUGUUGUGAUUACUCAAGCAACCCUAGGGCGAGGUCUGUUUCCUGAGGAACUGAGGCCUCCUGCCCACAGCCAUGCAACUCCAUUUCUCUGACUUAGCUGUGCUUCUGUGUUCUGCCUGGAGUAGAGGUGGCCAAAGACUCUGGGCCUAUGUCACUAGAAAGUGCCCCUAGAAACUUCUAGGUGGAUGUGUGCUCAGCAAGGUCAUCCUCAGCAAUAGGGAGAGGAAGCCAGCCCAUCUGAUGCUUACACACUGCACAGAAACCUGUAAACUCCGAGAACCAUGUCUGGAGUGCCCAAGCUGAAACUUGGAACCUAAGUCAGUGUCUCCCAAAGGAUAAUGAGAGAACCACCUGGAGAUGCUUGAUAAAAAUACAGCUUCCUCCACCCAUCAAUGCUCUACUGACAAUCUUCAAGGUUAAACCUCUGCAAAGUUAUGAAGACUCUGGGCAAUUCUGAUGUAUCCUAACUUUUAAGAAUUACAGGUACUUUUUAAUUGAAGUCUGAUUUACAUGCAAUAAAGUGUACAGAUCUUCAGUCUUCUAUUCAAUAAUUUUUGACGAUAUAAUCAUCAAAAACGAUUUUGACGAUAUAAUCAUCAAAAACGAUUUUGACGAUAAAUCAAAAACCGACCUGUGGAAUCACCACCCAAGACAAGAUAUAGAACAUUUCCAUCACCCCAGAAAAUUAUCUCUUGCCUUUUUCAACUCCCAGCCCCAGAAGCCAUGACUUCAGAGUUUUUACCAUUAUAGAGAAGUUUGCUCAGAACUGUUGCUUUUUGAAACAUCAAAGCUAACAAUGUAAAAAGAAGUCAGUUAUUUGAGAACUCUAAGUAAGCCAUUUCAGUUUGACAGGAGGAAACGAUUUCAGUAGUCCAUUUGAGGAGACUGUUCCAUUUUUCUGGGAAAACCAGCCAAAUGGGCUCUU